rnacentral:lncRNA from 1 species
UCUUUUCUUUUUUCUUCUUUUCUUCUUCUUCAUCGCCCCACCACCACCCUCCCCCCCUCUCUUUUAUUACCCUUGAAACAGGAGGGGGAGGGGCGAGAGCCCACCCCACCGGAGAAGAGGGGAGGGGAAGGGGGGCCUGCGGCCCGGCGGCGGCGCGGUCGCUGCGGGCCUGCGGCGACCGCGGCCAAGCACGGCGGCACAGCGGAUCAACCAAGGUGAGUGGUCUUCCCCCUCUUUUUUCUUCUUCUUGUCCCAGCAACCCUUUGGUCGGAUUCUAGCCAUCGUCGGGUCAAUCGGGAGGAGGGGGAGACAGGGAAGGAGAUGGAAAGUCUUACCUUGCUCCGAAGAGGCGUUGCGACCACGAAUCCGGCGGCACAAGUAAGGGCACGGUGAGCCCAAGCAGAGAAAGAAAGAAGUGAAGGGAGAAAGGAAGGGAAGGAGAGGAGAAUGGAGGAGGAAGAAGGGCUCGGCGAGCCCAAGCAGACAGGGAGCGGAAGAAAUAGAGGGAGGAGACCGCGGAUUCCGCGAUCUCCUCGCGCUAGCUAUUCUUCCGAAACUGCAGCUCGCCGGAAAGGAAAGAAGAGGAGCAGGGCUCCGGCGAUGUCGCGCGGCCCUGCCUCCCUUGCGGCGAUGAUCACAGCCAACUCCACCCAGCUGGCCAUAAACAGGGUGUCACAAAAACAUCGACACUUUUUAAGUACCACGCUCUGCAUGCAGUGAAGAUUACUAUAAUCAAAAUGAAUUUAAUCGAGUGUCAAACGUGAAAUGUACAAGGUCAAGCAAUAGCAAAUGCUAUUGUCUCUGAAUUUGGCAUCCAAACAAUGACAGCAUGAUGAAGAGUACAGAAUUUGCAUCAAAAUAUGUGGGAAGUAGAAUAUUUCCUGAUACUGUGUCCUAUUUCUGGAUUAAUAUUUUACCUUUGGCUGCAUUGAGUUUGAUUUGAGGUCAUUGGUGUUGAAAUCACCAUUUGUUCCAAAUAAGGGCCGAAUUUUACUUUUAAUGAGCGAGCCGAACAUGUAAAAUUUUUUAAUAAUGAGAUUAAAGAGUGCGGAGACAUGGUUCGAACUUAGGACCUAUGCUUUGAUACCACCAUUUGUCCCAAAAACUUAAGUUGAUUGAAUGAG